AACGAACGCUGGCGGCGUGGAUUAGGCAUGCAAGUCGAACGGGACUUUCGCGGUAGCAAUAUCAUGAAAGUCCAGUGGCGGAAGGGUGAGUAACGCGCGGGUAAUCUACCUCAAAGUUGGGAAUAGCCCGGGGAAACUUGGGAUAAUUCCGAAUGUGGUCGGCCGGUGCAUAUCGGCCUGUCCAAAGCCGGGGACCGCAAGGCCUGGCGCUUUGAGAUGAGCCCACGUCCUAUCAGCUUGUUGGUGAGGUAACGGCUCACCAAGGCUUACGGGUAGCUGGUCUGAGAGGAUGGUCAGCCACACUGGGACUGAGAACUGCCCAGACUCCUACGGGAGGCUACAGUCGAGAAUCAUUCGCAAUGGGCGAAAGCCUGACGAUGCGACGCCGCGUGCAGGAUGAAGGCCUUCGGGUUGUAAACUGCUGUGAUGGGGGAACAACUGGCGGGCCGUGAAUAACGACUCGUCUUGAUAGUACCCCAAGAGGAAGCCACGGCUAACUCUGUGCCAGCAGCCGCGGUAAUACAGAGGUGGCAAGCGUUGUUCGGAUUUACUGGGCGUAAAGGGUGCGUAGGCGGC
rnacentral:rRNA from 1 species